rnacentral:rRNA from 1 species
UACGUAGGUGGCGAGCGUUAUCCGGAAUGAUUGGGCGUAAAGGGUGCGCAGGCGGUCCUGCAAGUCUGGAGUGAAACGUAUGAGCUCAACUCAUGCAUGGCUCUGGAAACUGGAGGACUGGAGAGCAGGAGAGGGCGGUGGAACUCCAUGUGUAGCGGUAAAAUGCGUAGAUAUAUGGAAGAACACCAGUGGCGAAGGCGGCUUACUGGACUGCAACUGACACUGAGGCUCGAAAGCGUGGGGAUCGAACAGG